rnacentral:rRNA from 1 species
CAGUAGCCACGGUAAUACGAAGGGUGCAAGCGUUAAUCGGAAUUACUGGGCGUAAAGCGUGCGCAGGCGGUUUGUUAAGACAGAUGUGAAAUCCCCGGGCUCAACCUGGGAACUGCAUUUGUGACUGGCAAGCUAGAGUAUGGCAGAGGGGGGUGGAAUUCCGCGUGUAGCAGUGAAAUGCGUAGAUAUGCGGAGGAACACCGAUGGCGAAGGCAGCCCCCUGGGCCAAUACUGACGCUCAUGCACGAAAGCGUGGGGAGCAAACAGGAUUAGAUACCCCCGUAGUCCCUGUCUCUUAUAA